AUUGAACGCUGGCGGCAGGCCUAACACAUGCAAGUCGAACGAGUGGCGGACGGGUGAGUAAUGUCUGGGAAACUGCCUGAUGGAGGGGGAUAACUACUGGAAACGGUAGCUAAUACCGCAUACCAUCAGAUGUGCCCAGAUGGGAGUAGCUAGUUGGGGGGGUAACGGCUCCCCAAGGCGACGAUCCCUAGCUGGUCUGAGAGGAUGACCAGCCAAACUGGAACUGGGAAAAGGUCCAGACUCCGAAGGGAGGCAACAGUGGGGAAAAUGGCACAAAGGGCGGAAGCCGGAUGCAGCCAUGCCGCGUGUAUGAAGAAGGCCUUCGGGUUGUAAAGUACUUGCAGCGGGGAGGCGUUACCCGCAGAAGAAGCACCGGCUAACUCCGGGCCAGCAGCCGCGGUAAUUC
rnacentral:rRNA from 1 species